AAAGUCGUAACAAGGUUUCCGUAGGUGAACCUGCGGAAGGAUCAUUAACGAGUUUUGAAACGGGUUGUAGCUGGCCUUCCGAGGCAUGUGCACGCCCUGCUCAUCCACUCUACCCCUGUGCACUUACUGUAGGUUGGCGUGGGCUCCUUCACGGGAGCAUUCUGCCGGCCUAUGUAUACUACAAACACUWUAAAGUAUCAGAAUGUGAACGCGUCUMACGCAUAUAAUACAACUUUUAGCAACGGAUCUCUUGGCUCUCGCAUCGAUGAAGAACGCAGCGAAAUGCGAUAAGUAAUGUGAAUUGCAGAAUUCAGUGAAUCAUCGAAUCUUUGAACGCACCUUGCGCUCCUUGGUAUUCCGAGGAGCAUGCCUGUUUGAGUGUCAUGGAAUUCUCAACUUAUAAAUCCUUGUGAUCUAUAAGCUUGGACUUGGAGGCUUGCUGGCCCUUGCGGUCGGCUCCUCUUGAAUGCAUUAGCUUGAUUCCGUACGGAUCGGCUCUCAGUGUGAUAAUUGUCUACGCUGUGACCGUGAAGUGUUUUGGCAAGCUUCUAACCGUCCAUUAGGACAAUCUUUUAACAUCUGACCUCAAAUCAGGUAGGACUACCCGCUGAACUUAAGCAUAUCAAUAAG
rnacentral:rRNA from 1 species